rnacentral:rRNA from 1 species
AAUUACCCACUCCCGGCACGGGGAGGUAGUGACGAAAAAUAACGAUACGGGACUCAUCGAGGCCUCGUAAUCGGAAUGAGUACACUUUAAAUCCUUUAACGAGGAUCAAUUGGAGGGCAWGUCUGGUGCCMGCAGCCGCGGUAAUUCCAGCUCCAAUAGYGUAUAUYAAAGUUGUUGCGGUUAAAAAGCUCGUWGUCSAAUUUGUAUUAMUAUAUAUGAAAAAUASAAUAUGAAAGAGAAAUGUAUGCAUAUGUAUAUUUUUUUAAUUUCUUUUCUAUAAAUUUAUAUAAUAUUAAUAUUAAUAUCGGUUAAAAUCUUAUUACAAUGGUAUAAGUAAAAUGAUUAAUUUCAUUUUUCUUUAUUAUUACUGUUGAUAAUAAGCCGAUAUAGUUUACUUUGAACAAAUUAGAGUGCUUAAAGCAGGCAAAAAUUUUGAAUGCCUAUAUAUUUCUGCAUGGAAUAAUGGAAUAGGAUCACGGUUCUAUUUUCAUUGGUUUACGGAAUGUUUACUUUGAACAAAUUAGAGUGCUUAAAGCAGGCAAAAAUUUUGAAUGCCUAUAUAUUUCUGCAUGGAAUAAUGGAAUAGGAUCACGGUUCUAUUUUCAUUGGUUUACGGAAUAUCCGUGAUAAUGAUAAAUACGGACAGAUGGGGGCAUUUGUAUUGUAACGUUAGAGGUGAAAUUCUUGGAUCGUUACAAGACAAACAAAAGCGAAAGCAUUUGCCAAUAAUGUUUUGAUUGAUCAAGAACGAAAGUUAGAGGUUCGAAGGCGAUUAGAUACCGCCCUAGUUCUAACCAUAAACGAUGCCAGCKAGCUAUCUGUUGAAGGUUACUACCCUUUGACCUCAAUAGGCAGCUUCCGGGAAACCAAAGCUUUUGGGCUCCGGGGGAAGUAUGGUUGCAAAGCUGAAACUUAAAGGAAUUGACGGAAGGGCACCACCAGGAGUGGAGCCUGCGGCUUAAUUUGACUCAACACGGGAAACCUCACCAGGCCCGGACACCGGAAGGAUUGACAGAUUGAGAGCUCUUUCUUGAUUCGGUGGGUGGUGGUGCAUGGCCGUUUUUAGUUGGUGGAGCGAUUUGUCUGGUUAAUUCCGAUAACGAACGAGACUCUACCCUGCUAAAUAGACGUACUUUACCGGCAUCUCAAGGCCCAUCGGCUGUUUGUUUCCCAUUUCAUUCAUUUUCAUGUGUGUUAUGUAUUGUAUUUUUAUAUGCAUGUAUUUUUGAGAUUUAACGAUCWAGAUUAUAUUUUGUAUAUAUUGUGCUUUAUGUUGCAUAWGUUAUGGUGUAUGGGUUCGCAGUUUUUUGAUGUGGWUUUUACUGCCGGCGUACAAAUAAUUCUUCUUAGAGGGACAGGCGGCMUUCUAGCCGCACGAGAUUGAGCAAUAACAGGUCUGUGAUGCCCUUASAUGUUCUGGGCCGCACGCGCGCUACACUGAAGGAAUCAGCGUGUCCUCCCAGGCCGAAAGGUCCGGGUAACCCGCUGAACCUCCUUCGUGCUAGGGAUUGGGGCUUGCAAUUGUUCCCCAUGAAMGAGGAAUUCCCAGUAAGCGCGAGUCAUAAACUCGCGUUGAUUACGUCCCUGCCCUUUGUACACACCGCCCGUCGCUACUACCGAUUGAAUGAUUUAGUGAGGUCUUCGGACUGGUACGCGGCAAUAUUUCURAUAUUGCCGAUGUUGCUGGGAAGAUGAACAAACU